ACCCCGCGCACGGCACGUGGCCCGCGGUGGGGUCGCCCCGCUAGCGCUCGGCCGGGCCCGGCUCGCUGGGCGGCCGCGGGUGAGACGUCGGCCUUCCCAGAGGCCCCCCCUCCCCCCCCCCCCCCCCGCCCCUCCCGGCUCGUCGCCAGAGAGGGGGGAGGUGGCGCCCUCCCGCGAUGGGAUCCGGAACUUAAAAUCCGGAAACCACCAGGCCACGCCUGACCUAACCUCGCAGGGUGGCCCUGAGCGCGGGGCUGGGCCUCACAGGCCUCCAUAUUCCAGACCCGGUUUAGCUCGGGCCCCCUCCAGGCCUGUGAACGUGCUGUUCCCUCUCUCCGGGACACUAUCCCCAGCUGCCUCAGGGCCAGCCCUGGCUUACUGUUUGGCUGUCAGGUCAGCUGUUCCCUGCUCAAGUCCUGCCCUGCUCCCCGUCUCCAGGCUGACCCUGUGUCUUCGUAGCACGUCACUUGGAGCCGAAGUCAUCCCGUGUGUUGUAUCGGGGAUGGUCUGCCCCCAGCCCCACCGCAUCCCAGUGGGCUGUGGACUCCCUGGGGGCAGGACUCUGCUCUGAAGUCCCCUGCAUGCCCGGAGCCUAGCACAGAGCCUGGCAUACAGUAGGUGCUCAAUACUUGUUGAAUGAGUGAAUUUAACAGUAUCUCCUCUGUGUAGGCCCACGAUGGUCCCUGGGGGGCUCUCUGGCCCUAGCCUUCUGGAAUGGUCUUGGACCCGGAUGUGAGCUCCUGAUAAUCUGACUUGGUCAGGCUGCCAGGUGAUGUGUUCCUGCAGCAUGGUUCUGGCCAGGCGGAGAACUGGGCCUUCCAGGCAGAAGGAACUGGGCAGAGCCUGGAGGGUUUAAUCCCAGGUUAAGCGUGGAGUUUACCUGGCAGGUCUCCUUCGGAUCAGAGGGCAGGUGAUGGACUGUUCCCUGUUGUUGCCCGGCCCGGUCUACCUACAAUAAGGUAACUUCUUUGAUGCUAUGUGAAUGCCCUGAUCCCCAACAAAUUUUGAUCCAGCGGUUUUUAGCAUGUGCGGAUGCUGCUUGCCUGAAUCAAUUACCACUGAGGAGGUGGUUUAACUGGUUUACAAGGUGCUUUGGGUUGGGGGAAGACCUUCAUCCUAAUCCUUCCUCAAGGUCCUUCCAUGAGCCAAAGAACAGAAACUCCCCCCAAGCCUGUUUGCCAUCUGGGCACGCCCUGCCAGCUGGGAAUCCCCUCCUCUAGUCAGGGGUUUGAUCCUUGGGAGAGACUGAGAGGAUGGAAAAACCGUUAGUUUCAUUUGCUAGAAGAGGAAGCUGAGGCCCAGGGAGAGGAGAGACGUGGCCUAAGUGGAAUAGCUCCUCCCGAGGAGUCUCUGGGCUCCAUGGACGAGGCUGGGCGUUUGGGAAGGAGACUUUCGGGCAGAAUAACGGGCAGGGUUUCUGGGUCCAGAUUGGGGCUCUCUGACCCCUGACAGCCCCCCUCCCCAGUCCCUGUUAUCUGUGUAAGAUCUGGGUUGCCAGAUUUCGCAGAUAAAAAUAUAGGGUGCCCGGUUAAAUUUGAAUUUUAGUUGAACAGUGAACUUUUUUUUAGUAGUUAAGUAUGUCCCAGUUGCUGCACCAAAAAUUACACUAAAACCUCAUGAUGUCUAGGAUGUUUGGACUGACACUCGGGUUGCCAAGUAAGAUACAGGACAUCCAGUUCAAUUUUAAUUUCAGGGUACCGAUGAAUAAUUUUUAAACUCAGAUGUAGGGAAUAAAAGCAUGUGUGGCAGGUGUUAUCAGAUGCAAGAAAUGAGGCAGGUGACAUUGGUGGGCCUUGAAUGCUGGGAUGAGCUGCGCUUCUGUCAGAGUAGAUGACAGCCCUGGAAGAAGGGACUUGAGCUUGGAAGGCCCUUGCCAGAUAGUUCUAGAAAGCUCCCUCUGGGGGCAUCUGGCUGGCUCAGGUGGUAGAGCAUGCAACUGUCGAUCUCGGGUCGUGAGUCCAAGCCCUAAAGAGAAAGCUUCCUCUGGCUGUGGGAGGCGGGGAGUGUGGGCAGAGGUGAGCAAGACUGAAGGUCAAGGACCAAUCAGGGGGCAGCUGCAGUGACCAGUGACAUGCCAUAAGGUUCAGACGAAUGCUCAGGGGAUGUAAAGAGCGUUCAGGGGGCAGGACCUAUGGGGCCUGAGGCCCACCAGCUCAGGAAGGUGGGCAGGAGGCCUCUGGCCUGGCAUGAGCGGGGUAAGUUUAAGGGGCUGUGGGAGAGGGGGCGGGGAAGGCCUGAGAGUCAAUGGGGUCCGGCAUCUGGAGUUCAGAAGGGGCCAGGCCCGAGGAGAGAAUGGCUCCGGGGCGGGGAAAGAGGGACACAGGGCUACGGUGGGGCAGGGGGCUGUGCAGCGGGGACCUGGGAGGCAUUUCUGCCCAAAUUACCUCCUGCCGUAGGAGGAACUAGGGGAACACAGUAGCAGCAGCUGCAGGGCUGGGGUGGCUGCCUAGCCAGAGGCCGAAGCAUUAAUGGUGGAAUCCAGCCGCCUGCUCCGUGUGUGAAAGUGCUGGGACAGGGAGGGUGUGCUGGGACAGGAGGUUAGCCCCAGGGUCACCAGACCUGUUCUGCCGAGGCCUCUUUGGAAGCCAAGCAGCCUGCUCUGGCACAGUCUUCGUGUGGGCACCUGGGAGGCUGAAGAAACAGGAAUCGGGGCGGUGUCUAUUCUAUGUGGCACCCUCAUCAGUUCUCCUCGGAAGUACUCGAAGCCCAGUCCCAGCCGAGCUCGGGAGCCAGUCAUUUCUUACCCAGGGUAUCGUGUGCCCAGCUCACGGAAGAGAGGCGUGGCUCAGAGAGGGAAGAACCUUGCCCGAGGCCACAUGUCACAACAGCUGAUGGGGGUUUGGGUUGGAGUUUGAACCCGGGUCUAUUUGCUUCUGAAACUCAGCUCUCCCCAUGGCCGCCUGACCCUGGAAUUAGGCAUCUGUUUUCCCUCUUCCCUGUUGGCCUGGGCUGCCUUACAGCGAAUGGCAGGGACUGACUCCGGGGUGGGGAGCUCCGGGUCACUCCCCAUAAAAUACUGCCUUCUCUAGACCAGAAAUUUUCUUUCCUUUUUUGUUUUUAAAGUGUAUUUAUUUUGAGAGAGAGAAAGAGCACACGCAGAGAGGGGCAGAGAGAGAGGGAGAGAGAGAGUGAAUCCCAAGCAGGCUCUGCACAGUGUGGAACCUGACAUGGGGCUCGAACUCAUGAACUAUGAGAUCACGACCUGAGCCGAAACCAAGAGCCGGAUGCUUAACCGACUGAGCCACCCAGGCGCCCCUAGACCAGAAAUUUUCAAAAUCUUGGCUCUUGCCAUGUGGCCUUGGGCAAAUCACUCCCCUCUCUAGGCCUGUUUUCUUGCCUACAAAAUAGACGACCAUCUAGAAUCUAGAGAGAACCUCGCCAGAACGCAGGUCGCAAAGUGCUGGCCGAAGGGUGGCAUCCAGCCCACGGGAGAAUCUGUUCUGGGUUUUGGCUUCAUUUGAAUUAAUUGCCAACUUAGGAUUUCUGGCUUCUUAUGAUAAAUCCGAGGCUCUUGCCGUAUCAGCUUCCAGCCUGGGGGCCCUUCAGGUUCUGAUGAGGCUGAGGUUCAGGUCCUCCCGAGGUGCUCUGACAGUGUGUAAUUCUCAUGCACUCUGCUCCCUGGAAAGCAGGAGUCGAGGGUUCUAGGCUUGGCUCUGCCCAAACCAGCCGUCUAGGGCCAGUGACCACUCCUCUCCGGGACACGUCCACAAACAGGGGUGAUCCGCAUAUCUCAGAAGGCUAUGUUGAGGGUUAACUGAGAUGCCACGUGUAAACUGCUUCCCAAAUCUGGGUCUGUGGGCAGGUGGAAAUGAGAGCUGGAAGCGUGAUUACCUGAGUGUCUCUGGCAUGCUGAGAGCAGGCUGGGGACUGAGAGAUGAAUGUGGCUCAGUCCCCAGGGACACACAUAAGCAGCAAGCUGAAAACAGUGGGGAGGAAGGGGGGGGAGGUCAAGGCCUUUCACUUGCGGGUGAAAUCAAGGGAGGCCUCACAAAAGAGGUGACAUUUGGGCUGCCACCACCAGAUUCAUGUAUUCAUUCCUCAUAUCUUUACCAAGCACCUACUAUGUUCUAGGUAUCAUUCUAGGUGCUGGGGGUCCAGCAGUGAGCAAGACAAAAAUGCCUUUGAAGAGCUGGCGUUCUCAUGGGGGAAAACAGAAUAAAGCAGAAACAAUUAAAAAAAAAAAAAAAGACAUGUAAUGUCUGGUGGAAAAGGAAAGGCAGAGCAGGGCCAGAAGGAGACGGGGGUAGCAAUUUUAUGUAGGGGCCAGAGAGGCCUUCCUGGGGUGAUGACAUUGAAGCAGAGACCCGAAGGAAGUCAGCAAGCAAGCCCUGUGGAUAACUGGGGAAAGAGCAUUCCAGGCAGUGAGAACAGCAAGUGCAAAGGCCCUGAGGCAGGAGUAUGCAUGGCUUCUUUAAGAAGCAGCAAUCAUGUCGGUUUAUUCCAUUUCUGUGAGGCUAGCUUUGACCACUUGGCUCAGCCGACGGCCAGGCUUUACCCUGUAAAGCCGUAUUGCAUUUAAGAAGUCAUCUAUGGGAUGAUCCUUUGAGACUGUGAUUACAUGAUUUGACUUAAUCCUCAUAAGCAGCCCUUUGGCAGUCUUAAAAUAUGUCUGUAAAUUCUUUGACAUUCCACCCUUUGAGAGAUUGGGGGUUUGGGUCCCCUCCCCUUGAAUCUGGGUUCUGCGACUUCUUGACCAAUAGAACAUGGCAGAAGUAAAUACAAAUCAAAACCACAAUGAAGUACCACCUCACACCCGUCAGAAUGGCUAACAUUCACAACUCGGGCAACAACAGAUGUUGGCGAGGAUGCGGAGAAAGAGGAUCUCUUUUGCGUUGUUGGUGGGAAUGCAAGCUGGUGCAGCCACUCUGGAGAACAGUAUGGAGGUUCCUCAAAAAACUAACAAUAGAACUACCCUACGACCCAGCAAUUGCACGACUAGGUAUUUAUCCAAGGGAUACGGGUGUGCUGUUUCGAAGGGACACAUGCACCCCCAUGUCUAUAGCCGCACUAUCAACAAUAGCCAAAGGAUGGAAAGAGCCCAAUGUCGAUCGAUGGAUGAAUGGAGAAAGAAGAUGUGGUCUAUAUACACAAUGGAGUAUUACUCGGCAAUCAAAAAGAAUGAAAUCUUGCCAUUUGCAACUACGUGGAUGGAACUGGAGGGUAUUAUGCUAAGUGAAAUUAGUCAGAGAAAGACAAAAAUCAUAUGACUUCACUCCUAUGAGGACUUCAAGAGACAGAACAGAUGAACAUAAGGGAAGGGAAACAAAAAUAAUAUAAAAACAGGGAGGGGGACAAAGCAGAAGAGACUCAUAAAUGUGGAGAACAAACUGAGGGUUCCUGGAGGAGUUGUGGGAGGGGGGAAGGGCUCAAUGGGGAAGGGGCACUAAGGAAUCUACUCCUGAAAUCACUGUUGCACUAGAUGCUAACUAAUUUGGAUGCAAAUUAAAAAAUUUUAAAUUUUAAAAUUUAAAACUUAACAUAAAAAAAAAAAAGAAUAUGGCAAAAGUGACACUCUACCAUUGGCAGGGGUGGGAGGGGCAGCCCAUAGGAAAUGGGUGGCCUCCACGUCCCGUCUCCUGAGAUGCUUGCUCUUGAAACCCGGCCACCAUGUUGUGAGGAAGUCCUAGCAGCCCAUAGAGAAGCCCCCGUGGAGAGGAGCCCAGGCCUCGGACCCUCCGCUCACCUGACCUCCCAGUCAACAGCCAGCACCAACUUGCCAGCCAUGUGAGCACGCCAUCUUGGAAGCAGGUCCUCCAGCCCCCGUUGGGCCACCUCAGCCGGCGCCCUGAGGAGCAGAGCUGAGCCACCCCCUGCAAACCCUGCUCUAAUUUCACACAGAUGAGAGAAUAAGAAGACCGUUGCUGUCUCACACCACUAAGUUUUAGAGUGGUUGGUCACGCAAUAAUAGUUAACUGGAACAAACCUCACGAAGACAGUCUCCCCAUUUUAUAGAUGAGAAACUGAGGCGCAGAGGAUUGAACUAGUUCACCCAACGUCUCAUAGCCACUUAGUGGGAGAACUGGCCUUCGAAAUCAGCCUCUUUAUGUUGUAUUUUGAUGACCAGAAGUUCUGAAUCUUAAUGAAGUCCAAUUUGGCGAUCUUUUCCUACGGUAAAUCUGUUUUGUGCGGAUAGGCAGUUUCGAAACUUUUUUUUCAUGUAUGACUACAUAAUCUCUGUGGACAUUAAACACAUAAUGGUGCUUAUUUUUU